rnacentral:rRNA from 1 species
CCUACGGGGGGCUGCAGUGAGGAAUAUUGGUCAAUGGGCGCAAGCCUGAACCAGCCAAGUCGCGUGAGGGAUGACGGUCCUAUGGAUUGUAAACCUCUUUUGUCGGGGAGCAAGGCCCGCCACGUGUGGCUGGAAGGAGAGUACCCGAAGAAAAAGCAUCGGCUAACUCCGUGCCAGCAGCCGCGGUAAUACGGAGGAUGCGAGCGUUAUCCGGAUUUAUUGGUUUUAAAGGGUGCGUAGGCGGAAGGUUAAGUCAGCGGUCAAAUGGCGGUGCUCAACACCGGCCUGCCGUUGAAACUGGUCGUCUUGAGUGAGCGAGAGGUAUGCGGAAUGCGUGGUGUAGCGGUGAAAUGCAUAGAGAUCACGCAGAACUCCGAUUGCGAAGGCAGCAUACCGGCGUUCAACUGACGCUGAGGCACGAAAGCGUGGGGAGCGAACAGGAUUAGAUACCCUAGUAGUC